rnacentral:rRNA from 1 species
GACGAACGCUGGCGGCGUGCCUAACACAUGCAAGUCGAACGGGGUAAAGACUUCGGUUUUUACUUAGUGGCGAACGGGGGAGUAACGCGUGAGAAACCUGCCUUUCAGUGGGGGACAACAGUUGGAAACGACUGCUAAUACCGCAUAAUGUUAUUUGGGGGCAUCCAUGAAUAACCAAAGAUUUAUUGCUGAAAGAUGGUCUCGCGUCUGAUUAGCUCGUUGGUGAGGUAACGGCUCACCAAGGCGACGAUCAGUAGCCGGUCUGAGAGGAUGAACGGCCACAUUGGGACUGAGAUACGGCCCAGACUCCUACGGGAGGCAGCAGUGGGGAAUAUUGGGCAAUGGGGGAAACCCUGACCCAGCAACGCCGCGUGAAGGAAGAAGGCCUUCGGGUUGUAAACUUCUUUUACCAGGGACGAACAAAUGACGGUACCUGGAGAAAAAGCAACGGCUAACUACGUGCCAGCAGCCGCCGUAAGAC